rfam:Cavia porcellus supercont2_4 genomic scaffold, whole genome shotgun sequence.
AUCCUCAGGUUCAUAAGCGUGAUGAUUGGGCGCUCAUGCUGAAUGCAUGACAUGUGCUCCUUCAAACCUUGUUACGACAUCGGCACAUUACUCAUCUGAUG